AUACUUGUUGUAGAUAUGAUUUACUGCAUGCGAUGAUAUGAUCAUGCUUGCUGAUUUUUCAUUUUUAGAUUGAUACAUGCAUAUUAUAUCAUAUUAUAGAUCCUAGUUUAGGUGUUUUAGAUCUAAUCUAUAGCAUACUAAUAAGAUUAAAUAGUUUAACCUGAUAUGCUUCCAUCAAAAAUUUUAAAAAUACAUGCAUGAAAUGCCUACGAUUUCCUUC
rnacentral:lncRNA from 1 species